UACAUAGGGACCGAGCGUUGUCCGGAAUUAUUGGGCGUAAAGAGCGUGUAGGCGGCCAGUCAGGUCCGUUGUGAAAACUCGAGGCUCAACCUCGAGACGCCGAUGGAAACCGACUGGCUAGAGUCCGGAAGAGGAGAGUGGAAUUCCCGGUGUAGCGGUGAAAUGCGCAGAUAUCGGGAAGAACACCCGUGGCUAAGGCGGCUCUCUAGUACGGUACUGACGCUGAGACGCGAAAGCGUGGGGAGCGAACAGG
rnacentral:rRNA from 1 species